rnacentral:rRNA from 1 species
GAUGAACGCUGGCGGCGUGCUUAACACAUGCAAGUCGAACGGAGAGCUAUUGACGGAGUUUUCGGACAACAGAUAUAGUUUCUUAGUGGCGAACGGGUGAGUAACGCGUAGGCAACCUGCCCUUUAGUUGGGGACAACAUCCCGAAAGGGGUGCUAAUACCGAAUGUGAUCGCUUCCUCGCAUGAGAGAGCGAUGAAAGAUGGCCUCUAUUUAUAAGCUAUCGCUAAAGGAUGGGCCUGCGUCUGAUUAGCUAGUUGGUGGGGUAACGGCCUACCAAGGCGAUGAUCAGUAGCCGGUCUGAGAGGAUGAACGGCCACAUUGGGACUGAGACACGGCCCAG